GUGUGUGAACUGGGCUCCUCUCCCUAGGGAGGUGCCCCCAGUGGGCUCCCCUGGCUGCCUGGCUUUCCCCGAGUCUCUGCCAUCCCCUCUGUCAUCUCUUAGCCUUGUCCUCUAUCCCAUCCUCCGGGUCGCCUUGCUCUGCCUCCUCGGGCCCCAGGGUAGACGUGCUGCUACAAUUCUGGAUGACAGCCCCCGAGAGCUGUGGGUUGAUCAGGCAGCUAAACGUGAGGGCACUUCCUGUCCAACCACGUGCAGUCCCUACGUGAUACCAAAGCUCCCCUGUUGGUGGGGGCAGCCUGAGAGGCCGUGCUCUCCAAGGGCCUGAACAAAGCUGUGUGCCCAUGCUCCUCCCCCUCCGUCUCCCAACUUCCUUCCUGCUUCCACCUGAAAGAUUUAGGGAAGAGCAGGAAUAAUAAAGGCCAUUCAGAGCAGUUCCCAGUGAUCCCUGAAAAGCUUUUAGGCCAACUGCUAGGGAGGAAUGGUAAGGAGCCUUAAUUAGGGCUUUUAGAAUCAAACCCAAGAGAAUUUGAAUAGAGUCACUGGAAAAAAUUGGAGCUUCAGUCCUAAGGAAGACGAAGCUGGGACAGGAAGAGAGGCGAGCAAGCGGUCCUGAGCCGGUGCACCCUGCGUGUCACCCCCGAUACUUAGAGCACAUUCAGAGCAGCAGGAAGGACUGCAGCUGCAGUGCAAGCGGUAAGUCCGCGCUCACCCUGUGAGUUCUUUCUCAGACCCUGCACAUUCAUUGGCCUGGAUUUAGGUUUAGAGUUACACUUGAAACGCCUAAUGAUACAUGUAUCACUACACCCUUUAUAGAUAUAUAUUUAUCAUUUGUAAGUGAUAAAUACACAAACACACACAGAAAACAGUUCUCUGCUACACUCAGCGUGAAUGAGUAUAUGAGAGCAGGGACCUCAUCUUAUUUUAUUUACCACUGAAUAUCCUGGGACUUAGGGCCCAGUGCCGUACUCAGCAACCAGAAGGGGUUCAGGAAAUAUUUGUGGCCUUAGAUAUACAACAAGUUUCUUUUGUAUAGCACAGGGAACUAUAUUCAAUAUCUUGUAGUAACCUAUACUGAAAAAGAAUAUGAAAACAAAUGUAUGUACGUGUGUG